rnacentral:tRNA from 1 species
UGGCUGAGUGGUAAAGCACUUGGCUUCCGAACCAGGAAUACCAGGUUCAAUUCCUGG